rnacentral:lncRNA from 1 species
UGACCCACAAUUUAGAGAUCUAUUUCUUCUGCCUAGGUUGUCUCAAACUUGGGCAGGAGGACUUUGUCCUGUUUUGAAAGAUCUACUCAAGAGAGAGAUGCCAAACCUACUGACUGUGUUUGCCCUUAUUGUUAUUUCCUUCACCUGAUCCCUCUCCUGUUAGGCCUCUUGGCUGAAGCAGGAGAUUUGAGGGUGGAAGAGGGCGUGGAAGCAACCUCUGGCAGUUCUCAUAUGUGUUUUUUAAAAUAUGCAGACCGAUUCUGACAGUGGAAGCAAAGUGUCGGCCGAUGUGCAGCUUCCUGCUGCAGACCAAAACAGAGUGGGUGUGAGCUCUGCUGCAGUGAAGCAUGGCAAAGCUCAAGGACCUGAAAGAACCUCUUAACAAGAAUGAAUAUUAUGCUGACUCAGGGAAGAAUGCCCAAAAGAAGAAGGUAAUAACAAUUUUGAGGAACAUGCAACGCAUCCUGGUUGAGUCUUCUGAUUCUUCAGCUGCAGCUAUCCCCCUGCUGGAAGAACGCAUUCAACGGCUCCAGAUACAAACGGCAAGGCUGGAAGCCACAAUCCAGCAACAAGCCAAGACUAUUGAAGUCCUUGAGACAAUCCAGCAAUCUCUUACCUCAGUAAGCUACUCAGAGCCUUCCCUGUUCAUGACCCAUAGAGCCUAGUUCCUUAUUCAUGUGGGAAAAUUUUAAAGUUUUCAGGUUUUCCUAGAGGGAGUCUAGGAGAGAUCAGACCAUAUACCUAGAUAACCUGAAAGACCCAAUCAUAUUCUAGAAGAAUGGUGUGGGGGUACAUGUUGGAAGGAAGACAGGUAGUAGGUGGUUUGGGAAGUUUGUACAUUCUUAGUGCCUCAGCCAAUGGGGAAAGGAGGAGGGCAACAUGCGGUUGGGAGUUUAGGAUAAAAGGAGGCUGGAUCCUCCAAAAACUCAAGACGCCCCACAGGGAUAUGUUCCACUAGACUCUCCCUUUAUUCAAAUAAAGUUGAUUUUUGCAGGGCUCUUCUGUGGACC